rnacentral:rRNA from 1 species
UACGGAGGGGGCUAGCGUUGUUCGGAAUUACUGGGCGUAAAGCGCACGUAGGCGGCUUUGUAAGUUAGAGGUGAAAGCCCGGGGCUCAACUCCGGAACUGCCUUUAAAACUGCAUCGCUAGAAUUGUGGAGAGGUAAGUGGAAUUCCGAGUGUAGAGGUGAAAUUCGUAGAUAUUCGGAAGAACACCAGUGGCGAAGGCGACUUACUGGACACAUAUUGACGCUGAGGUGCGAAAGCGUGGGGAGCAAACAGG